UCGUUCAUGAGAUCACGAAACCCACCGGACCGAUUGAAAAAAACACCACACCCCACCCGCUGCCCCGAUCCCCACCUCCUCCCUCGAUCCACUCCCCGCCGAAUGCCAGAUCUCGCCGCCGCCUCGUCCCCAAACCUCCGCCGGGGCCUCCUCUUUCCCCAACCGCAACCUCUGCUCCCCUGAGCCCCUCAUCCCGCCGCCGUCCUCUGAUCCCGCCGCCGCGCGCCUUCCCCUGAACCCCACGCCGCGCGCGCCCUCCCAGGAACGCCCCGCCGCCACGAGCCCUCCCGGGAACCCCCGCCGCCGCGCACCCUCCCCGGAACCACCGCCCUCCUCAAAUCCCAUCGCUAGUGCCGCCGCCCUCCCCGGAUCACCCAGCCACCGCCAUCUCCCUCCCUGGUCGCGCCGCCGCCACUCUUUCCCUCCCCAAAUAGCAUCGCAACCACCACCUCUGGCCUCUCCUGCAUCGCGCCCAUGCUCCUCUACCUACGGGCGCGGCUCUGCCCCGCAACCAUCGCCGUCGACGAAGCCCGACAACCAUUAGCCUGGGCACCCUCCCUCCCGCCCGCUUGCUCCGACGCGGAUCCGGACAACCCCGCAACCCUCCCCUCCGGUGAGCCUCCUCUUCUCCUUCUCUACCUCCGGCGUCCCACCCCUUCCCCCACCUCCCCGACCUUCACUGGUUGCCUAGACAGGACUGCCCUUGCCAUUGGGCGCGACCAGUGCCCGUACUUCGCCCACGACCAAGCCACUGCGCUCAUCUUCAGUUCCGCGUCACCCAGUUGCAUAACAGUAGCGGUUCAGGAAAGGAUGCAGGCUUCCACACGAUGCCUGAAAAAUGCCACUUUCCAAAUCUCGUCUCCGUCCGAGCACGAAGCCGCUGCUGCCCGUCAGUGCUUGGUGCACCAGGAGAAGUUCGUCACCUCACUUGCGAGCAGUCCAUCUAUCGCCUCCUGUGCAAGCACUCCAUCACCUCACACAGUGUCCGUUCGACAGAGUUUGUCCUUUUGAAGAAGCGGAAAAUGGAGUUUGAAGCGGCCGCGGGCGGGUGGUGGUGUGGUUGCAGAAGAAGAAACGCUGGUGCGAACUCGUCCAUCCGGCGCUAGUAUACCAGUAUGAUUUGGAGGCGAAGAAUUUUUUGUGUCUCUUACCAUGAAUCUGUGUAGCUAUGGAAACUUGGCUUCCUGUAAAAUUUUAAGAUAUAUCGCUAGCACUUUGUUCCCCAAGUGUGUUUGCAUUAAUGCGUGAGAGGAAACUAUUCUGGGCCUAUGCUUUGCACUGCUACGUACUCCGACAUAGUUUGAAUGUAGUUUUGGAGUCCAAUAUGGCUCUAGGUUGAAGUUUGAUACAUUGCACGUGAUUGAUGUAUAUUAUAUCCUACUACAAAUGCAUAACACUUCUUGUCCGAUUAUA